UACUUGGUUGAUCCUGCCAAGGAAGCACACUUAGGUCAUAGAUUAAGCCAUGCAAGUGUUAGUUCAGGUAACGAAACUGCGAAUAGCUCAUUAAUACGCUCAGAAUCUAUUUGGCGGCGACCAACAGGUCUUAAAUGGAUAGCAGCAGCAACUCUGGUGCUAAUACAUGCGAUUGUUUCUCCAGAUGUGAAUUAUGGAGGAAAAGUUGACCUCAUCAGAGGCACGCCAUUCGACUGAGUGACCUAUCAGCUUGUACUUAGGGUCUUUACCUAGGUAGGCUAUCACGGGUAACGGGCGGUUACCGUCGGACUGCCGGAGAAGGCGCCUGAGAGAUAGCGACUAUAUCCACGGGUAGCAGCAGGCGCGAAACUUUCCCACUCGAGACUUUCGGAGGAGGUAAUGACCAGUUCCAUUGGUGCCUUUUGGUACUGUGGAUAGGGGUACGGUUUUCCACCGUACCGAAACCUAGCAGAGGGCCAGUCUGGUGCCAGCAGCUGCGGUAAUUCCAGCUCUGCGAGUUUGCUCCCAUAUUGUUGCAGUUAAAACGCCCGUAGUCUGAAUUGGCCAGCAAUGGUCGUACGUAUUUUUACGUUCACUGUGAACAAAUCAGGACGCUUAGAGUAUGGCCACAUGAAUGACUCAGCGCAGUAUGAAGUCUUUGUUUUCUUCCGAAAACAAGCUCAAUGAGAGCCAUCGGGGGUAGAUCUAUCUCAUGACGAGUGGUGGAAUACUUUGACUCAUGAGAGAGAAGCUGAGGCGAAGGCGUCUACCUAGAGGGUUUCUGUCGAUCAAGGGCGAGAGUAGGAGUAUCCAACAGGAUU
rnacentral:ncRNA from 2 species